GAUUAACGCUAGCGGCAGGCAUAAUACAUGCAAGUUGAACGGCAGCACAGGUAGCAAUACUGGGUGGCGAUUGGCGCACGGGUGCGUAACACGUAUGCAACCUAUCCUAUACAGGCGAAUAACCCUUAGAAAAGAGGGCUAAAACGCCGUAGUAUUACAGAUGGGCAUUUAUUUGUAAUUAAAGAUUUAUCGGUAUAUGAUGUGCAUGCGUCCCAUUAGUUAGUUGGUAAGGUAAUGGCUUACCAAGACGACGAUGCGUAGGGGAUCUGAGGGGACUUACCCCUGCACUGGUACUGAGACACGGACCACACUCGUACGGAGGGCAGCAGUAAGGACUAUUGUGCGAUGGACGCGAAGCUGACCACGCCAUGCCGCGUGCAGGAAGACGGGCUUAUGGGUUGUAAACUGCUUUUAUACGAGAAUAAUAGAGUGUACGCGUACAUUUAUGAAAGUAUCGUAUGAAUAAGCAUCGGCUAACUACGUG
rnacentral:rRNA from 1 species